AACGAACGCUGGCGGCAGGCUUAACACAUGCAAGUCGAACGCCCCGCAAGGGGAGUGGCAGACGGGUGAGUAACGCGUGGGAAUCUACCCAACUCUACGGACUAACUCAGGGAAACUUGUGCUGAUACCGUAUACGCCCUUCGGGGGAAAGAUUUAUCGGAGUUGGAUGAGCCCGCGUUGGAUUAGCUAGUUGGUGGGGUAAAGGCCUACCAAGGCGACGAUCCAUAGCUGGUCUGAGAGGAUGAUCAGCCACAUUGGGACUGAGAAACGGCCCAAACUCCUACGGGAGGCAGCAGUGGGGAAUAUUGGACAAUGGGCGCAAGCUUGAUCCAGCCAUGCCGCGUGAGUGAUGAAGGCCCUAGGGUUGUAAAGCUCUUUCACCGGUGAAGAUAAUGACGGUAACCGGAGAAGAAGCCCCGGCUAACUUCGUGCCAGCCGCCGCCGUAAUAC
rnacentral:rRNA from 1 species